UGUAAAAGUGGUAGCAUCAGGCUUUUUUUAAGUGAGAGAAAGAGAGAGAACCCUCGGCACUGAGCCUUCAUUGCAGUCCAAACAGGAGAAGCCAAUACAAUGCACAGUCUGUGAGACAGCAGUCAAAGAGGAUUGGAGAUUAGUUAGCCGGAGCAGACGCACCCAGAGAGGGAAAGAUGAAGAGAGAGAGUGAGCAGAGAGAAAUGAAGAGGGCAGUGUGGUCUAGGGAAUUUUUUCUCUCCCCGUCGUUGAAUUAAACCUACAUUGUGUUGUACGUCGCCAGCCUCCCCCUCAGCUAUAUUUGUCCCUCCCCCAUCAUCUCUCCCUCGCUCUCUCCCCCUCUCUUUCCGCUCUCCGUAUCAAAGCCUGGGGGAGCCAGUGGAGAUUAAAUGUAGCCUCUAUAAGCCAAGCACAUCAUGUAGCUAUGUUUCUAUGACCUGCUCUCUCUUUCUGCUCUCUCUCUCCUCUCAUUCUCUUUUUGAAGGAUAGUGUUAAUGAUGUCGGGCAUGUGUGAGGUAGUGAGGCAGUGAGAGAGAGAGAGAGAGAGAGAGACAUAGACAGGGAGGGAAAGUGAGAGAGACCGUAUGAGACAGAGAGGAAUACGUGCAAGAAGAAAAUCAAGGAAAACAGAGGAUUUGUUGACGGGAAACAGACUUGAAUAAAACACUGAAAAGGUGGAAAAGCGAGAGGCGGCCGACUUUCUCAUUCCCCCUCCUCAUCUCCCUCCUCCUCCUCCUCCUUAGCCUCCUCCUCCUCCUUCUCCUCUCUUUCUGUCUCUAUCUCUAUCUGUCUCUCCGGCUGAUACAACAGAGAAGUGGGCCUCUUGUUUUAAAUUAUUACAUCUGAGCAAAUUACUGGAUAAUAUUUCCACAUUUUUUGGGAAAAAUAUUUUUUUGUCUCCUGCCAUUCAGCAUGAAGACGAGAGUGGGAGACCUGGGAUUCACAGUUUUCUGUGUUUCUGUUCUGCACUGAGAGAAAGAGAGGGAGGGGGGUAAAAUAAAAUUGAUCACUGUUAGCGAGGGAAGCAGAACAGCAGCAACAUCCAUUGAUGCAUUUUGUCUUUGAAAUAGUUUGGAUAUUUUUGGGCUCUUGUGGCAUAUACGACAACCAACUGUUAAUUUUCUUCUAACCUGAACUGGAUAUGAAAUAGGGAUAUACAACUGAGUAAAGGCGGCAUAGGUUAACAGCAGCAAAACAAAGCUGCAACAAGGGACAAGGGCUGGUGCCUCCUCAUUACGAACCAGACCUGGAAGUUCCCCUGAGAGUGUGGACAAUGCCCUUCACUCAACAGUCAUAAAAGCCUAUGAGCGUCAGUGGAGCUGUGGCCGUUCUGCAUGACUGGAGGAAGGAGGGAGGAUGAAAAGGCGAGGAGAUUUUGGCCGGCCCCAGAAUGUUUUGGGUGCAAAGAGGAGACGCGAGUCAAAAACCACAGUGAGAGUGGCCUGAUUAAAGACUGAUCCCAGUUCAUCUCCAGGACAUCCGUACUCUAAAGCCUCUACAGACACACCCUUCACCUCACUGUUUACAUGCACUCCUUCCUGUCUCGCGCUGCCAAAUACUGAAGGACUUACUCAUAGCAUUCUGUGGUUAACCAAGGCUAUGCGUUUGCCUUCACUUUGUUAAGGGCCUUUGAGGAGACUCUGUGCCACUGUGUGUGAUCGAUGGGAGAUUUGUUUAUUUCUAUCAAAAACAUUUGUAAGUUGGAAGGACACUGACUAAAGACAGUGAAGUAAACUAAAAAUAAUUCAAUAAACAUUUUAGAAAGCAGA